AAAUAAGAAGUAAUUUUUACAUUUAGUUUCGACCUAAAAAUUGAUAUAAAUAUAUCCUUAUUUA
rnacentral:tRNA from 1 species